UCUUCGGACCAAAGAUUUAUCGCCCAAGGAUGAGCCCGCGUAGGAUUAGGUAGUUGGUGGGGUAAUGGCCUACCAAGCCGACGAUCCUUAGCUGGUCUGAGAGGAUGAUCAGCCACACUGGGACUGAGACACGGCCCAGACUCCUACGGGAGGCAGCAGUGGGGAAUAUUGGACAAUGGGCGAAAGCCUGAUCCAGCAAUGCCGCGUGAGUGAUGAAGGCCUUAGGGUUGUAAAGCUCUUUUACCAGGGAUGAUAAUGACAGUACCUGGAGAAUAAGCUCCGGCUAACUCCGUGCCAGCAGCCGCGGUAAUACGGAGGGAGCUAGCGUUGUUCGGAAUUACUGGGCGUAAAGCGCGCGUAGGCGGUUACUCAAGUCAGAGGUGAAAGCCCGGGGCUCAACCCCGGAACUGCCUUUGAAACUAGGUGACUAGAAUCUUGGAGAGGUCAGUGGGAAUUCCGAGUGUAGAGGUGAAAUUCGUAGAUAUUCGGAAGAACACCAGUGGCGAAGGCGACUGACUGGACAAG
rnacentral:rRNA from 1 species